AUUGAACGCUGGCGGCAUGCCUUACACAUGCAAGUCGAACGGCAGCACGGGUGCUUGCACCUGGUGGCGAGUGGCGAACGGGUGAGUAAUACAUCGGAACAUGUCCUGUAGUGGGGGAUAGCCCGGCGAAAGCCGGAUUAAUACCGCAUACGAUCUACGGAUGAAAGCGGGGGACCUUCGGGCCUCGCGCUAUAGGGUUGGCCGAUGGCUGAUUAGCUAGUUGGUGGGGUAAAGGCCUACCAAGGCGACGAUCAGUAGCUGGUCUGAGAGGACGACCAGCCACACUGGAACUGAGACACGGCCCAGACUCCUACGGGAGGCAGCAGUGGGGAAUUUUGGACAAUGGGCGAAAGCCUGAUGCAGCAAUGCCGCGUGUGUGAAGAAGGCCUUCGGGUUGUAAAGCACUUUUGUCCGGAAAGAAAACCUUGGCCCUAAUACGGUCGGGGGAUGACGGUACCGGAAGAAUAAGCACCGGCUAACUACGUG
rnacentral:rRNA from 1 species